UGAGGAAUAUUGGUCAAUGGGCGAGAGCCUGAACCAGCCAAGUAGCGUGCAGGAUGACGGCCCUAUGGGUUGUAAACUGCUUUUAUGCGGGGAUAAAGUGAGGGACGUGUCCUUCAUUGCAGGUACCGCAUGAAUAAGGACCGGCUAAUUCCGUGCCAGCAGCCGCGGUAAUACGGAAGGUCCGGGCGUUAUCCGGAUUUAUUGGGUUUAAAGGGAGCGUAGGCCGUGGAUUAAGCGUGGUUGUGAAAUGCAGGUGCUCAACGUCUGCACUGCAGCGCGAACUGGUCCACUUGAGUGUGCGCAACGCAGGCGGAAUUCGUCGUGUAGCGGUGAAAUGCUUAGAUAUGACGAAGAACUCCGAUUGCGAAGGCAGCUUGCGGGAGCACAACUGACGCUGAAGCUCGAAAGUGCGGGUAUCGAACAGGAUUAGAUACCCUGGUAGUCCGCACGGUAAACGAUGGAUGCCCGUUGUCAGGCUGUUUCAGCCUGGUGACCAAGCGAAAGCAUUAAGCAUCCCACCUGGGGAGUACGCCGGNNCGGU
rnacentral:rRNA from 1 species